rnacentral:rRNA from 1 species
GUUUGAUCCUGGCUCAGGACGAACGCUGGCGGCGUGCUUAACACAUGCAAGUCGAACGGUGACGAGGAGCUUGCUCCUUCGAUCAGUGGCGAACGGGUGAGUAACACGUGAGUAACCUGCCCCAGACUCUGGAAUAACAGUUGGAAACAGCUGCUAAUACCGGAUACGAGACGGAGAGGCAUCUCUACCGUCUGGAAAGUUUUUCGGUCUGGGAUGGACUCGCGGCCUAUCAGCUUGUUGGUGAGGUAAUGGCUCACCAAGGCGACGACGGGUAGCCGGCCUGAGAGGCGACCGGCCACACUGGGACUGAGACACGGCCCAGACUCCUACGGGAGGCAGCAGUGGGGAAUAUUGCACAAUGGGCGAAAGCCUGAUGCAGCAACGCCGCGUGAGGGAUGACGG